AAUACAGAAGGCUAAUGACGGUACCGUAAGAAUAAGCACCGGCUAAUUACGUGCCAGCANCCGCGGUAAUACGUAGGGUGCAAGCGUUANUCGGAAUUACUGGGCGUNAAGCGUGCGCAGGCGGUUAUGUAAGACAGUUGUGAAAUCCCCGGGNUCAACCUGGGAACUGCAUCUGUGACUGCAUAGCUAGAGUACGGUAGAGGGGGAUGGAAUUCCGCGUGUAGCAGUGAAAUGCGUAGAUAUGCGGAGGAACACCGAUGGCGAAGGCANUCCCCUGGACCUGUACUGACGNUCAUGCACGAAAGCGUGGGGAGCAAACAGGAUUAGAUACCCUGGUAGUCCACGCCCUAAACGAUGUCAACUGGUUGUUGNGUCUUCACUGACUCAGUAACGAAGCUAACGCGUGAAGUUGA
rnacentral:rRNA from 1 species